rnacentral:rRNA from 1 species
CGUGUGUGAAGAAGGCCUUGCGCGUUGUAAAGCACUAUAAGCGACGAGGAUGCUAACUGUGAUUAAUACUCUGGGAAUAUUGGACGUUACUCACACAAUUAAGCACCGGCUAACUCUGUGCCAGCAGCCGCGGUAAUACAGAGGGUGCGAGCGUUAAUCGGAUUUACUGGGCGUACAGCGUGCGUAGGCGGCUUUUUAAGUCGGAUGUGAAAUCCCCGAGCUUAACUUGGGAAUUGCAUUCGAUACUGGGAAGCUAGAGUAUGGGAGAGGAUGGUAGAAUUCCAGGUGUAGCGGUGAAAUGCGUAGAGAUCUGGAGGAAUACCGAUGGCGAAGGCAGCCAUCUGGCCUAAUACUGACGCUGAGGUACGAAAGCAUGGGGAGCAAACAGGAUUAGAUACCCUGGUAGUCCAUGCCGUAAACGAUGUCUACUAGCCGUUGGGGCCUUUGAGGCUUUAGUGGCGCAGCUAACGCGAUAAGUAGACCGCCUGGGGAGUACGGUCGCAAGACUAAAACUCAAAUGAAUUGACGGGGGCCCGCACAAGCGGUGGAGCAUGUGGUUUAAUUCGAAUGCACGCGAAGAACCUU